UUGAGGCUCAGAGAAAUCAACUGGUCCAGCCAAUCUGGGCAGAGCACCUGGGUUUCUGUGAUUCCAAAGCCUCAUGCCACGAUGGAAGCUAUUUUAACUUGGUCAAAAUUCUGGAGCAAUUCAGUGGAACCUGGAAUCUGUGAAGCACUGUUGUAGCAGAAAGUUCUCGACUCGGGGGCCUCGGGGGAGAGGGCAACAGGGACCUUGCCCUGCGCACAGGUGCAGGAUCAAGGGCCUGGAGCCAGGGAAAGAGGAAGGCAUGAGAGGAGUUUGGAGAAGCACAGCUCCGAGACCCAGGGAUGCUCCUGAAGGAGACAGCUGCAUUUCUAAGUCAACUAACAGAAGGUUCUUGGGCUCUAAGGUGACCAGCUCGUCCUACUGCCUUUGGUUUUUCUGAUUUUAGCCUGGAAUGUUGUAUGUCCUUUUGU